rnacentral:tRNA from 1 species
GUUAAUGUAGCUUAUUAAAUAAAGCAAGGCACUGAAAAUGCCUAGAAGGGUCAUAAGACUCCGUAAACA